rnacentral:tRNA from 1 species
GCCUCCGUGGUAUAGUGGUCAGCACGCUCGGCGCAUACUCGAGAGGCCUGUGGUUCGAAUCCCGGCGACGGCA